GAUGAACGCUGGCGGCGUGCCUAAUACAUGCAAGUCGAACGCUGGAAAUCUAGCUUGCUAGAUUGAAGGAGUGGCGAACGGGUGAGUAAUACAUAAGCAACCUACCCACGAAGACUGGGAUAAUCUCUGGAAACGGGGACUAAUACCGGAUAGGUAAUCGGAAGGCAUCUUCUGAUUAUUAAAGGUUAAAAACACUGGUGGAUGGGCUUAUGGCGCAUUAGUUAGUUGGUGAGGUAACGGCCCACCAAGACGAUGAUGCGUAGCCGGCCUGAGAGGGUGAGCGGCCACAUUGGGACUGAGACACGGCCCAGACUCCUACGGGAGGCAGCAGUAGGGAAUUUUCGGCAAUGGGGGAAACCCUGACCGAGCAACGCCGCGUGAGUGAUGACGGCCUUCGGGUUGUAAAGCUCUGUUGUAAGGGAAGAACGGUAGAUAGAGAAUAUCUAAAUGACGGUACCUUACCAGAAAGCCACGGCUAACUACGUG
rnacentral:rRNA from 1 species